GGAUACAUUUCAAAGUGGAAUUACAUUUGAUUAAGGAAUCCCCAGCAUGUCUUAGCAUCCCCUCCAUACCUAGGUGGAGGGGAUAGAUGUGCAGAAACAUUAGGCAUGGUAGAUGUGUCUGGUACAAGGGGUGCAGGAGGAGCUGGUACAGGUAUCGGAGCUGUUCUGGAUAAGAGUGUCAGGAUGGCCUGAGCCAUCUGAUCCAGAUGGUGAUCCUGC